UGACAUGGAUUUCCGAGUUUUCCUUGUGUUAAAAAAUUGGAGUUGAUCGUUAUUGAUGUAGCAGAUGGUGAUGACAAGCUUGUUGCUUUGAUCUCUUUGAUUGAGGCAUGCCCUUUGUUGCAUACUUUCAAGUUGGAGUUACAGCGUUGGAUUUAGCCAAGAGAGGCGAUGUCUGCUGUAAAGGAUAAACAAAUCAACGCAAUACGCGCACAUCAACACCUUAAGACUGUAAAGUUUGUUGGGUUUACCGGGAGCGCAUCUGCAUCCGAGCUUGCGCUUUGUCUGGCUGAGCAUGCUCCCUUGCUGAACAAGUUCAUUUUUAAUCCUCGUUGUCCAUUAUUAACUGUAUUUCCAAAACAAGUAGCGUACGACACUCAAAGACA